UGCAGUCGGACGAUGAUGCCCUUCGGGGUGGAUUAGUGGCGAACGGGUGAGCGAAGGUGAGCAACCUGCCCUUGACUCUGGGAUAAGCCUGGGAAACUGGGUCUAAUACCGGAUAGUACUCCCUGCCGCAUGGUGGGGGGUGGAAAGCCUUGUGCGGUCUUGGAUGGGCUCGCGGCCUAUCAGCUUGUUGGUGGGGUGAUGGCCUACCAAGGCGACGACGGGUAGCCGGCCUGAGAGGGUGACCGGCCACACUGGGACUGAGACACGGCCCAGACUCCUACGGGAGGCAGCAGUGGGGAAUAUUGCACAAUGGGCGGAAGCCUGAUGCAGCGACGCCGCGUGGGGGAUGACGGCCUUCGGGUUGUAAACCCCUUUCAGCAGGGAAGAAGCGGAAGUGACGGUACCUGCAGAAGAAGCGCCGGCUAACUACGUGCCAGCAGCCGCGGUAAUACGUAGGGCGCGAGCGUUAUCCGGAAUUAUUGGGCGUAAAGAGCUCGUAGGCGGUUUGUCGCGUCUGCUGUGAAAGCCCGGGGCUCAACCCCGGGUCUGCAGUGGGUACGGGCAGGCUGGAGUGCAGUAGGGGAGACUGGAAUUCCUGGUGUAGCGGUGAAAUGCGCAGAUAUCAGGAGGAACACCGAUGGCGAAGGCAGGUCUCUGGGCUGUUACUGACGCUGAGGAGCGAAAGCAUGGGGAGCGAACAGGAUUAGAUACCCUGGUAGUC
rnacentral:rRNA from 1 species